GACGAACGCUGGCGGCGUGCUUAACACAUGCAAGUCGAGCGGAGCGGCGAACGGGUGAGUAACGCGUGAGUAACUGCCCCCCUCUCUGGGAUAACAGUUGGAAACGGCUGCUAAUACCGGAUAGUGGGGGAUGACUCGCGUCCUAUCAGCUUGUUGGUGGGGUAGUGGCCUACCAAGGCGACGACGGGUAGCCGGCCUGGGAGGGCGACCGGCCACAAUGGGCUGAGGUACGGCCCAGACUGCUACGGGGGGCAGCAGUGGGGAAUAUUGCACAAUGGGGGAACCCCUGAUGCAUCAACGCGCGGGCGGGAUGACCUUUCUCGGGUUGGAAACCGCUUUCAGCCAUGAAGCGGUAGUGGCAGAAGAAGCACCGGCUAACUACGUGCCAGCAGCCGCGGUAAUUC
rnacentral:rRNA from 1 species